UUACGGCCAUGUCAUAUUAAUAAACAGGUUCUCAUACGAUCACCGAAGUUAAGCAACGUCGUGCUUGAUCAGUACCUAGAUGGGUGACCGCUUGGGAAAACCAGGUGCUGUAAG